AUACGUAGGGGGCGAGCGUUAUCCGGAUUUAUUGGGUUUAAAGGGAGCGUAGGCGGGAGCUUAAGUCAGCGGUUAAAUGGUGCGGCUCAACCGUGCCCUGCCGUUGAAACUGGGUUUCUUGAGAGUGCAAGAGGCGGAUGGAAUUCAUGGUGUAGCGGUGAAAUGCUUAGAUAUCAUGAAGAACUCCGAUUGCGAAGGCAGUCCGCUGGGGCACGUCUGACGCUGAUGCUCGAAGGUGCGGGAAUCAAACAGGAUUAGAUACCCUGGUAGUCCGCACGGUAAACGAUGAUUACCCGCUGUCGGCGGCAGACAGUCGGCGGCCAAGCGAAAGCGAUAAGUAAUCCACCUGGGGAGUACGCCGGCAACGGUGAAACUCAAAGGAAUUGACGGGG
rnacentral:rRNA from 1 species